rnacentral:rRNA from 1 species
UACGGGGGGGGCAAGCGUUGUUCGGAAUUACUGGGCGUAAAGGGCUCGUAGGUGGCUAACUAAGUCAGACGUGAAAUCCCUCAGCUUAACUGGGGAACUGCGUCUGAUACUGGAUGGCUUGAGUUUGGGAGAGGGAUGCGGAAUUCCAGGUGUAGCGGUGAAAUGCGUAGAUAUCUGGAGGAACACCGGUGGCGAAGGCGGCAUCCUGGACCAACACUGACACUGAGGAGCGAAAGCCAGGGGAGCAAACGGG